CGCGUAGGCGGUACUGAAAGUCAAAUGUGAAAUACCACGGCUCAACUGUGGAUCCGCAUUUGAAACUUCAAUACUUGAGUUCAGGUGAGGAGAAUGGAAUUCCAGGUGUAGGGGUGAAAUCUGUAGAUAUCUGGAAGAACACCAGUGGCGUAGGCGAUUCUCUAACUUGAUACUGACGCUGAGGCGCGAAAGCGUGGGGAGCAAACAGGAUUAGAUACCCUGGUAGUCCACGCUGUAAACGAUGGAUACUUGGUGUUGGAAGAGUUAAAUCUUCUAGUGCCGGAGCUAACGUGUUAAGUAUCCCGCCUGGGAAGUACGAUCGCAAGGUUGAA
rnacentral:rRNA from 1 species